rnacentral:rRNA from 1 species
AGCGGCGAGCGAAACGGGAAGAGCCCAAACCAACAAGCUUGCUUGUUGGGGUUGUAGGACACUCUAUACGGAGUUACAAAGGACGACAUUAGACGAAUCAUCUGGAAAGAUGAAUCAAAGAAGGUAAUAAUCCUGUAGUCGAAAAUGUUGUCUCUCUUGAGUGGAUCCUGAGUACGACGGAGCACGUGAAAUUCCGUCGGAAUCUGGGAGGACCAUCUCCUAAGGCUAAAUACUCUCUAGUGACCGAUAGUGAACCAGUACCGUGAGGGAAAGGUGAAAAGCACCCCGGAAGGGGGUGAAAUAGAACCUGAAACCGUGUGCUUACAAGUAGUCAGAGCCCGUUAAUGGGUGAUGGCGUGCCUUUUGUAGAAUGAACCGGCGAGUUACGAUUUGAUGCAAGGUUAAGCAGUAAAUGUGGAGCCGUAGCGAAAGCGAGUCUGAAUAGGGCGUUUAGUAUUUGGUCGUAGACCCGAAACCAGGUGAUCUACCCUUGGUCAGGUUGAAGUUCAGGUAACACUGAAUGGAGGACCGAACCGACUUACGUUGAAAAGUGAGCGGAUGAACUGAGGGUAGCGGAGAAAUUCCAAUCGAACCUGGAGAUAGCUGGUUCUCUCCGAAAUAGCUUUAGGGCUAGCCUCAAGUGAUGAUUAUUGGAGGUAGAGCACUGUUUGGACGAGGGGCCCCUCUCGGGUUACCGAAUUCAGACAAACUCCGAAUGCCAAUUAAUUUAACUUGGGAGUCAGAACAUGGGUGAUAAGGUCCGUGUUCGAAAGGGAAACAGCCCAGACCACCAGCUAAGGUCCCAAAAUAUAUGUUAAGUGGAAAAGGAUGUGGCGUUGCCCAGACAACUAGGAUGUUGGCUUAGAAGCAGCCAUCAUUUAAAGAGUGCGUAAUAGCUCACUAGUCGAGUGACACUGCGCCGAAAAUGUACCGGGGCUAAACAUAUUACCGAAGCUGUGGAUUGUCCUUUGGACAAUGGUAGGAGAGCGUUCUAAGGGCGUUGAAGCAUGAUCGUAAGGACAUGUGGAGCGCUUAGAAGUGAGAAUGCCGGUGUGAGUAGCGAAAGACGGGUGAGAAUCCCGUCCACCGAUUGACUAAGGUUUCCAGAGGAAGGCUCGUCCGCUCUGGGUUAGUCGGGUCCUAAGCUGAGGCCGACAGGCGUAGGCGAUGGAUAACAGGUUGAUAUUCCUGUACCACCUAUAAUCGUUUUAAUCGAGGGGGGGCGCAGUAGGAUAGGCGAAGCGUGCGAUUGGAUUGCACGUCUAAGCAGUAAGGCUGAGUAUUAGGCAAAUCCGGUACUCGUUAAGGCUGAGCUGUGAUGGGGAGAAGACAGUGAGUCUUCGAGUCGUUGAUUUCACACUGCCGAGAAAAGCCUCUAGAUAGAAAAUAGGUGCCCGUACCGCAAACCGACACAGGUAGUCAAGAUGAGAAUUCUAAGGUGAGCGAGCGAACUCUCGUUAAGGAACUCGGCAAAAUGACCCCGUAACUUCGGGAGAAGGGGUGCUCUUUAGGGUUAACGCCCAGAAGAGCCGCAGUGAAUAGGCCCAAGCGACUGUUUAUCAAAAACACAGGUCUCUGCUAAACCGUAAGGUGAUGUAUAGGGGCUGACGCCUGCCCGGUGCUGGAAGGUUAAGAGGAGUGGUUAGCUUCUGCGAAGCUACGAAUCGAAGCCCCAGUAAACGGCGGCCGUAACUAUAACGGUCCUAAGGUAGCGAAAUUCCUUGUCGGGUAAGUUCCGACCCGCACGAAAGGCGUAACGAUUUGGGCACUGUCUCAACGAGAGACUCGGUGAAAUCAUAGUACCUGUGAAGAUGCAGGUUACCCGCGACAGGACGGAAAGACCCCGUGGAGCUUUACUGUAGCCUGAUAUUGAAAUUCGGCACAGCUUGUACAGGAUAGGUAGGAGCCUUUGAAACGUGAGCGCUAGCUUACGUGGAGGCGCUGGUGGGAUACUACCCUAGCUGUGUUGGCUUUCUAACCCGCACCACUUAUCGUGGUGGGAGACAGUGUCAGGCGGGCAGUUUGACUGGGGCGGUCGCCUCCUAAAAGGUAACGGAGGCGCUCAAAGGUUCCCUCAGAAUGGUUGGAAAUCAUUCAUAGAGUGUAAAGGCAUAAGGGAGCUUGACUGCGAGACCUACAAGUCGAGCAGGGUCGAAAGACGGACUUAGUGAUCCGGUGGUUCCGCAUGGAAGGGCCAUCGCUCAACGGAUAAAAGCUACCCCGGGGAUAACAGGCUUAUCUCCCCCAAGAGUUCACAUCGACGGGGAGGUUUGGCACCUCGAUGUCGGCUCAUCGCAUCCUGGGGCUGUAGUCGGUCCCAAGGGUUGGGCUGUUCGCCCAUUAAAGCGGUACGCGAGCUGGGUUCAGAACGUCGUGAGACAGUUCGGUCCCUAUCCGUCGUGGGCGUAGGAAAUUUGAGAGGAGCUGUCCUUAGUACGAGAGGACCGGGAUGGACAUACCUCUGGUGUACCAGUUGUCGUGCCAACGGCAUAGCUGGGUAGCUAUGUGUGGACGGGAUAAGUGCUGAAAGCAUCUAAGCAUGAAGCCCCC